GCUUACGGCCACACCACCCUUAGCACGCCCGAGCUCGUCUGAUCGCAGAAGCUAAGCAGGGUUGGGGCUUGGUUAGUACUUAGAUAGAUGGGAUGGGAGACCUCGGAAUACCAGGUGCUGUAAGCU
rnacentral:rRNA from 1 species